rnacentral:rRNA from 1 species
UACAGAGGGCCCAAGCGUUGUUCGGAUUCAUUGGGCGUAAAGGGUGCGUAGGCGGCUCGGUAAGUCGGGUGUGAAAUCUCGGAGCUUAACUCCGAAACUGCAUUCGAUACUGCCGUGCUUGAGGACUGGAGAGGAGACUGGAAUUUACGGUGUAGCGGUGAAAUGCGUAGAUAUCGUAAGGAAGACCAGUGGCGAAGGCGGGUCUCUGGACAGUUCCUGACGCUGAGGCACGAAGGUCAGGGGAGCAAACGGG